ensembl:lncRNA
GUGAGCACUCAGUGCACUUGUCAAUAUUACGCAUUAACCAUGACCCAGCAGAGAACCAGCCUCCUUUUGUAGACUGACAGGCGACGACUCCUUUUACGUCAAGCAUAAUGAUUAGCGUCAUUGACGUCGUAGGAGUGGCCUGUCAAUCAUCUUUGCUCUACUCUGAGGGUUUUUUAUCAGUAUGAUCUUAUUUUUUUGCCAGUGCGUUUCCGGUUAAAUAAGAGCAAACACAUUGACGGAGAUUAUGACUUUUAUUUGAACGACUGAAGGGAACAAUGAGUUUGGGUCGUCAAUUGUUUUAUUUCAUGUUUGGCAUGGCUAUUAUCUACUUUCCACAAACUCGAGGGGACUGUUCAUUGGAGCAUCAACCUUCCAGUUAUGAACUCUCUGCGACAAAUCAGGAUGGACUCAAUUUCGAGUGCUUUGGUAAAAACGUUCAAAGGGGAAAAAAAAUUGAAUGGUAUUGCUCGUUUACAUCUAUGAACGAUUCAUCAGAAAACUCAUAUGUUGGAACAUAUGUCAGCAUACAAGAAAAGAGAACAAAAUGGUAUCAGCACAACAACUCUGCAAAGCCGAUGACUCUCAAAGAUGCAUCGAUAUAUAAAAACAAAACAUGACCGUUCAUGUUUUUGAUAAGGACAACUGUACAAAAGCGUCGUUUAGAGGUGUUCCGAAACAACUGAUUCGUUGUGAUCCACCAGCGAAUGUAAGCUUUCUUCGACUUUCGAGAAGACUCAUGGUGAAUAUGACGUGGAGGCCGGAGGACGAGGGAUAUAUCAAAAAAUAUGAUCUGAGAUACAGAGUGCUCAACAGUGUGUUUUGGAACGAGUCAUUUAGCUGAUGCUAUUAUCCAAAAGGGCAGGGCCUUUGUGAGACAUGUCAUUGGUGAGCAGGUAGGCAUCUUGUCAUCCACAAAAUAAUUGGUGCCUUCCUUGUUGAACCCCCGAACUGCUACUAGCCAUUACAGUUCAAAGACAGACAGACAUUUCCUUCCACAGAUGGGAAUCACCAUAUGACCGUUGUGUAUGCUGAGCUAAAUUCCCAGUCCACCGAAAGGAACAAGGGUUCAGUGGAGCACCUCGACCCCUCGCUCUCCUACGAGGUGGAGAUACGGUGCAGCCCAAUCGACUUCUGCCCAAAGUGCUCCUGGAGUCCCCCCUACCUCUUCCCACCAGAACUAACCGUCCCGCCGGUGAUUCUGAACGUGGAAGACAGCGAUUUUGCAGGACAAAAUGGCCACCGUCUUCUCCUUAUAAGUUGGAAUUAUCCCUCCAGAGAGCUGGUGAAAGGCUACAGCGUGAAGGUGGAGAAGGCCUCUGGAGAGGGUCCCAGCGAUCGUAUCCCCACGGACCAAAUGGAGUUGAGGCUGAUUGUGUCUUACUCCGCCUACCAGCUGCAGAUCACCGCCUCUAACAACUUCAGCACAUCCCCCGCAGCCCACCGGACCGUACCUGCACGCAGAUACAGGGACGGUGCAGGCGGGAGGCUGAACGUCACGUUCCACAGUAACAUGUCCCUCUCUCUGUCCUGGAGCGACUCGGUGGCUCUGAAACCAAUCGUCUGCUACUCCGUCGAACUGAGUGGGCAUAAAAACAGUAUUACGUGUUUUACCUAAACAACGCAUCCCACCAAUUGAUAAGUUUAAAGGAGCCGUUGGAGCCCUAUCAGAUGUAUGACAUCACGCUGCACAUCAGGCCUAACAAAAAUACCUGCAACAUCAAGCGGAUCAACAACAGUGAGAGCACCUACGGGAGCCUGCAGGCCUACUUCAGAGAGGGAACUCCUGUCAGCGCUCCGACCAACAUCUCCAGGUCCAACGUGACCCUGACCUCCAUGGUCCUUACCUGGAGGCCCGUCCCAGUGGAGGACCUCAAGGGACACCUCCUUGGGUACACCCUCCACUACAAGGAGACUGGUCCACAAAACACGAGCACACCCAGAAACACAACGGUGGAUCCCACAGUAGUCUCACAGGAGCUGGUGGGUCUUGAAAGUGGUACAGUGUACACGGUUCAAAUAGCAGCAUUCACCUCCGCAGGAGCGGGGGUGAAAAGCAGUGCAAGCUACUUUGGUACCAGUUCUCAAGGCCUCCCUUUUCUUCAUAAAGCCGUCAAGAACUCCCUGAUAACGUGUUCUGUGUUGAUAGGCAUCAUCCUGUUCGGCUCGCGACUGUUAAAAAGGGCAAAGCGGUCGUUUUGGCCAAAUGUACCAAAUCCAGGUACCAGCAGUGCGAUCCAGAGAAUGGUUAAGUCCUAUGAGCUGGAGCCCCUGAAGCUGACCAUCCUCCGGGAGGAAUGUGACACGUGUACCCUCCACCUGCCCCCCCCGGACCCGCCGCUGGGCCUUCAGUACACCGGGCUCCAGGGCAGCGGACAGCCACUCGGGACCCCCCCCAGCUGUGAGGAACCGCCGCGACGAGACGCCAGCGACGACUCGACCGGCGACACAUUACCCAACGACGAGAGAACCACGACCCCGGACGCGCUCCAGAGCGAUCCGGAGAGCGCUCCCGGUAAGGGGCCCAGCGACUACACCACCAUGGAGCUGUUUCAGCAGGGCAUGCCUCCACCGCCCCCCAGCCUGUAGGACCGAAGGCCACGCAGGCCUUCACGGAGAGGAGAUGAACAAGACUGUACAUGGGAACGGAUCGGGCUACUCCCGGCAAUCUAGCCAGGGUCCAAUGGAGAUCGGCGCUCUGUAGACUGGAUCGAUUGUUCUAGUGUUCUGAACAUGUGAAAAUGAGCCUCCCGCUCACUUCCACUUAGGGUUGUAGCUGUUAGGACGCAAUGAAGAUCUUGAGUACACCGCAAAAAUUCAGCCAGCAGCAUAAAUUAGGUGAAAAACUGAUUCAUUUUUUUUCACGCUUAAAAAAGUGAAAUGGCAAAGCCAAACACAAUACUUUGAUAAACAAAACCAAAAAUCAACCAGAGGGUUGCUCACUUGCAAAGUUCCAUUAACAUGAGAAUCACCGAACAUGAUCCAGCCUCACAGCAAGCCGUCUCUCUAUGCCUCCACCAACCCCCUUGAAAGCAAAAAAAUACCGGGCUUAAAUAAAGCCAACCAAUUAACUAAAUUGGUAGACACCAAAUACCAUGGGGGUUCACCGACUCAAGUACCAUAAUACAUCUUAUAUUUUAUAAUUAAAUCAUAUUCGACCACACACUUCAUUACACAUCUUAACAGUUCGAAUGUUGAUGAGGUUCACUGUUGCAAAAUACCGUAAUAAUUAAACAUAACAAAUAACGUCUCCCCCCUGACAAACAGUCAGGUUCCUGCAUCCCAAUCAGGCAGUGAUUGCAUUUCCAGGUGCCGUGUUGCCCGGGGUUCAAAAUGUUUGGGGACCCAGGAAGUGGGUGUGGCUGUCAGUGUCUGUCUGUGUCAUGCAAAAUGUAUGGGUUAACGGCAGAGAAUGGAUUAUGGGUUAUGGGUUAAGGAUCAAUGUCUCAUGACGAGACGCGGUUGCCGGCACCGUGCGUCAUACUCAGCAUAAACAUGUGUGAAUGCGGGUGUGCGUGUUGAUCAGUUUACGUGUUGCGGGUAGUGUCAUAUGUACGUGAAAAGGAGGGGCUACCUUUUCACAACCACGUACAAAUGGGUAAAGUCGUUGCUGAGAUCUAGCAUAGUAGGGUGACAAUGGGAGCACUGGGGAUUUGACCUUUUCUAUCGUUCAAAUAAACAUAGGCCAAUCAUCUGCAAAGAGCAUGACUUUCACACCAAUACAUGUGCAACCUGGCAGCUAAUGGCACAGAUAGGAGGACCACAAACUGAAAAGGCCAAAUUCGCUUAGGAAGGAGACUGAAUGUCUGGAAGGAUUGAGCGUGUGGAUGGGUAUAAUACCUUAAGACGCUAAAAAUAAAGUAGACACUUCAAUAAUGGUAGAAGUGGUACCAGCAUACAGAAGAGCUUGAGCACAUUCGUUUCCUUAAGAUAUCAGCCAGGGGAUGUGGCGAGGAGCCGCUGUGAUGUACAGCAGAUUAUCUGAAUGAAAAAGCCUGUGGGUUUUCUAUUUUUAUUGGGGGGGGGGGGGACAUUUGAACAAGACACGACCAGGGAGGUUCAACAGCAUACAUCCAAGCUUUUCAUAAACAUAAAAAACCACCCCGCUUGAAUCAGGAAGUGUAAUUCUUCAUUUUAGGAAUUAGCCAAGAUUGUUUUUAAAUACUUGAAUACAACAUUCUAAAAAAAUACAAUUUGUAUUAUGUUCAUUUGUUUUGUCUUUCAGAUAUCUUACACCAAACAUUUGUCUGUUUGGCAAACCUCUGGUAUGUUACCAACGUUUAGAUGUUUCAUUCCUUAAAUUGUUUUUUAACCGACAUCAAGCUUUGAACUUUUUUGUUAGACAAUAGCAGAUACCUUUCACUGUUAAAUUUCUCAACACUGGAUUUAUUCACACAAAUAAUCCGCACUAGCACAAACAUUUGAACCUGCAAAAAACACAAAUAUUCACCAUCAGCUAUACUUUUUUUUAUGUCGAAGACAAUUUUACUCACAAAUGUAUUGUAACUUCAACACCUAAUUAACAAAUCUUAGUUUGCCAAAAUAAAUUGAGGUUGGACUUUUAGGGAAUUAUUCAGUGUUUUGUACAAUCUUAGUCUAGGCACUUUUCAGUUGUCUGUGCUUGCAAUACGUUUUUUCAAAUUUUACUUCAGCCAAUGUUUGACCCAAUGCCCAUAGCACUGGUUUUAAUGUACAAUGUGCCAAGUGAUAUUUUAAUGCCGCCUAUGUCAACCAAUUUACGUGUGGAAAAUUAUAGAAAUGUGUACAUAAAAUUUAGUUUCACACUUCUACCUCCUGCGAUGCACAUUUCCAAAAUACAAAUAUAGCACCAAAGUAAACAGCAACAAAAUAGGAAAAGUCAAAUAUAUAUGUAAUAUAUGUUUUACUAGGGAGUGAAAAAUACAUUUGACCACAUAUAUAACAACAUACAUAAGAAUGUUCUUUAUCGGAUGUUGUGGAGCUUUAAGAAACAAACCAAAUUGGCAAAAUAAGUCAUACAUUUCUUCUGAUUGCUUGUAAUUACAGUAAUAUAUAUCAACCCGUUUGUUGCAUCACAAAAAGGUGAGCGACACAAAAAUAAAGGGCAUACUGUACAGAUCCUGUGGCUGUGAUAGACUGCACGAGGCAUGUGAUGAAUGUAUCCUCCAAACAACAGACAGGGCUAUUUCCCCCGGGCACCAUAAAAAGCAUCUGUGUCCUCCUGAUGUUGUACCUCAUACAUUAUUAAACCCGGCCCAUACAUAAACACUACCUAUUCACUGUACACAAAAUGGUCAGAAUAAUACAAUCCAAGUAAUAAUAAAAAAAAAGGACCUAUUUAUUUCCCAUGAGACAUCGGAAGCAAAAUGAGAUGCGUUGCCAAGAUAGUUCAUUUCUACUCCUCAGUGGUCUCUGAAUGUCAUGUUUAUUUUUAGAUUCAAACAUUUGUCUUAUUGCUUAAGAGGAUUAUCAGUAUGUGCCAGUUAGAUACAGGGUGGGCUGUUCUUUUUUUUUUUUUUUUUAAUCAAGUCAAUACAGGCUCUGUAUGUUAGCGAGGUAAGCAUAGCCUGUCCCAUCCCUAGUACUGAAGCAAGGGGUUCUACACAGUUGUACAAAGAGGGGAGCUUUUGGACGAUUAUUCAGAUUUCUCUUCUACUACGGUACUCCCUUUUUUUCUUUCUUUUGUUAGUUAGUAGACUUGUAAUUAAAAAGUAUUAAAUAUAAAUCUUUGUUUACGGUUUACUCAUUAAAUCGGACCAUUUGUCCCAAAUAGAUGGUACAAUAGCUGAAUCCAUAAAGGUUCCACGUUCUGUCAACUGAUUCUGAUAUCAAAAUACUGUUCAGUAAAAUAAAAUUGACAAUAAAGAUUGAUUUCCUUUCAGUUUAAUAACUAAAUUGCUCGUCAUUGACAGAUGGACACAUCUAUGAAAUCGAUAUCCUUGUUUGGUGACACCUGUACCACAAAACGGAAUUUGUGUAGUGCCAGUAUGAAAUUGAAUAAAAAACUAAAAGCAAACAACCAGAUGGUGAUUGAACUAAUACAACGCUGCGUCUUAAAAAUGGGCGACUGACAUGUGUGACACUACCCAACUAUGUGUGAGUUUUGUCGUUUGCGAAUACGUAUUUCAACACACUUUUUUUUAAUAUAGCCACUGUUAGCCAAAAAGAAGACCUCUGGUCUCCUACUUCGUGUUGAACCUACGGACACGUGCUCUUCGCCCAGUCUCUCUCAGCGGCCAUUUUGUUGUGUACAGGGGGAGGCCAUGUCCUCGCUGGCCGAUCCGGAGCCUUCUCUGUCGCUCUCACAGACUUCCUUUGCUUCCCGUUCAACAUCCUUUUGCACCUUCAAUGUCAAAUUAAAUGAAAAAAACAAGUGAGCGAGCGGACAAAUAUAUUUUACAGAAUACAUGACUUAUUA